ACAUGCUAACAAGCUGUCAGGCUUCAGCAGGGAGAGGAAUUCAAUUGAAAAGAAACAGUGUAAAUCUGGCGGCAGGGCAUGAAACAGUGACACCAAUCCUUCCCAAAGGAAUGCCGACUAGUGUGAAUGGAAAACAACGGAUUUGAAGAAGCUUGUGAAGCUGCAUCAAGGAUUUCUAUACAGCACUUAGUGAAUGGUUCUCUCAGAUCGUGACCAAAGUCUGUGACUCAAAGACACCAUAAUCCCAACCUGUGGCUUUUCCGUGGACAAACUCAAAGAUAAGGUGCUGCUACUUCCCUAAAUGAACAACAAUGGAAACUAGCACAAUGCUGCUCCUUAAGCAAAUCAGAGAAACAGAUUAAGAGCUGCUCAGCUUCAGCAAGAUGGUGGCCUUCAGACCAUAUCGUAGUCCAGCAUAUCUGCCAGCAAAAAGUCUUCCUUUGCGGGAGAGGUGGUGGAGUGGGAAGUGUCCUUCUGAGAAGUAGUUGGACCUCUGUGGUUACUUAAAGAAAGGACAUUUUUCCUGUACAAAUUACAACUGAACCAUCAGUCAAAAACUGAAAUAAAGCUGCAAU